AAGAGCGAUAGCGUCAAACGAGGACGUGUUUACAUGUUUUUAGAAAAUCAUUUAAAAAUCAUUCUGAAGAUUGAACAUACAUAUUGUUAUAUUUAGAAAGGUGAGCUCUAUCGGGUUAUGAAAUAAAACGGAGAAUUUCGGCAACUGGUAGCGAAUAAUUAUAUCUAUACAGUUCAAAGCAGGCGUUGGCGAGAUUCAAAUCGGCUGUUGCUGCUCUAGAAGAAAUACACAGAAAAGAUGCAAGUUAACUUGAAACAAAGAAGACGUAAUAACAAUGGAAUGAUGAAAACCACCCCUUUUAAAUAGUACAGAGCUAAAGCGCUACUGAUUUGCACGCAAGUCGCACACCAAGCCUAGUGCAUCAUAAACCAGCCCACAUCGUAAAGUUUAAUGCGUACCCCAUCCCGGGCACUGAAUGCCUAAUGAGAGCCAUCAUCAAUAGGGUUAUUAAGCCUGUUAAGCUGUUUUUAGUUUUUUCCGAUGCAGUUGAUAUUGGCAUGCGCAAAUAUUUGUUUCGGACGUUGAUGAAGCAAAACUAUUUUAUGAGAUUAACGGAAAACAACUUUUAUUUACCAAUCUUAAAUCAAAUUCUUGGACUGGGUAAACUGUCAAAUAAGCUACCUUAUGUCGAUCGAAUCGCUGUCAAAUAAGGUCGAUAGUAUCAAACAAGUUACUGUUUACAUUUUCGUACAAA